rnacentral:lncRNA from 10 species
CACACAGCCUGUGGGGAAGCACAGCUGUCAGGGCUGGAUUUUCAGGAUUAGUUUGGUUGAAGAUGCCGAAACCCAGCUCCCGUGGCUGAUACCAAAGGGGGCAUUCCCAGUGGGAAGCAGCAGGGCCUCCAGGAAGCAGGAGGCAGAAUCAGAGACCCCCAGGGCUGGGCUCCUCGCCUCUGCAUCGGUUCCUACCACAGGCUGAAAACAAAUUGUUGCAAGUCACAUCCUCAGCCGCCACAGAGGGAUCGACUUUCUCACUGCGGCAUCAGUGACAAGUCAGAUGUCCGUCACUGUGCCCAAAGGCACAGGGGCCCUGCCUGGUCCUGCUCUGGUGAGGUGCCCAUCCUUAUGCACCAAGAAAUUGUGGUCAGGGGAGGCAGCAGGACGAGGACUGCCCUGGUAACAAUUCCUGGCCCCUCAUCCUGUAUCACAAUGUUUCAUCACAGUCAUCCUCUGCCAAGAUACUCUGCAGUUUUACUUUCUAUGGUAUUUACAAUCGGCCUGCCCAUCACUAGACUCUAUGCUAUGUAAGGGCAGGGACCUUUUGGUUUUAUUUUCCCCAAGGGAGGCACUCAAUCAAUACCUGUUAAAUACAGAAUGGACUCCUAUCCUGGGGGCUUCCUUCCCGCCUGCCUCCUGGAGUUAUGCCUGGGAAGGAAAGGAUCUGAGAGCAGAGGGGCGUGGAGCAGCUUUCCCUCCUGGAGUCCCAGGAAGAAAGGGAUGCUGAGGUAUCCAGGGGCUGUGGCUGCAGGUGGCCACACAGUGUUUCCUGCAACUGGUAUGGCAUAGAAGAAGCCCAAUGAGGCUGACUCGAAGCAGGCCUGCAGGCAGAUCAAGCCCAGCUCCCUGCAUGACUCCGUGGCCGAGGGGAGGGCAGGGGAUGCUUCUACAGAUGCCAAGAUGGUGAAUGGGCCCUGGAGUGAGACACACCCUGGGAUAGGAUCCAGAUGUGUCAGGAUCAUGAGAAAAGACAACAAGCC